rnacentral:lncRNA from 1 species
AUCAUUUUUGAUAGAUAUAUAAUGUUUUCAUAUAAUGUCGUGGAAUGACUCUUCAAUAUCUCUAUAGGUAUUCUCGCUAUCACACUAUCAUGCAUAUUCUUAUAGCAAGAUACAUAUGUAUACAAAUUGCACUUAGGAUGUGGUAAUUCAGGGCCAAGAAUUCUCCAAGACUUGUAUAUGCUAUUAACAUUUUAAAUCGUUCAUGGAUUUCCAUGUAAGUAUAGUCAAAUAAGUCAUAUAAAUAGACUUCAGAUUUACAUCAGGUUUUUAUGCCAUGCUAGACAUAUAAGAUAAAUAAAGGUGAUUGCACACGCCAUUGACUUUAUACUUUCAAGUAUUUGAAUUGCAAGUCCAAAACUAUAUGUUUUUCAUAUGAAACCAAUACUACUUGAAUUGUUUCUUCAGACUUAAGAUCCUCAUAUAUAUUUAACGCUGUUACAGAUGUCGUCGACAAACAUUUUAUAUCGGUUCUAGCCUCUUUAUUUUCAUA